rnacentral:SRP_RNA from 1 species
GCUGGGUGUGGUGGCGCGUACCUGUAGUCCCAGCUACGCAGGAGGCUGAGGUAGGAGGAUUGCUUGAGCCCAGGAGUUCUGGACUGCAGAGCGCUAUGCCGAUCGUGUGUCCACACUAAGUUCGGUAUCAAUAUGGUGACCUCCCGGGAGCGGGGGACCACCAGGUUGCCUAAGGAGGGAUGAACCGGCCUAGGUCGGAAAUGGAGCAGGUUGAAACUCCCGUGCUGAUCGGUAGUGGGAUCGCGCCUAUGAAUAGCCACUGCACUCCAGCCUGGGCAACAGAGUGAGAUCCCCGUCUCU